CAGUCGAACGAGAAAGGGACUUCGGUCCUGAGUAGAGUGGCGCACGGGUGAGUAACACGUGGAUAACCUGCCCUAAGGUCUGGGAUAACAUUUCGAAAGGGAUGCUAAUACCGGAUAAGCCUACGCCCCCCUCGGGGGAAGUAGGAAAAGAUUUAUUGCCUUGGGAUGGGUCCGCGGUCCAUUAGCUAGUUGGUAGGGUAAUGGCCUACCAAGGCUUCGAUGGAUAGCUGGUCUGAGAGGAUGAUCAGCCACACUGGAACUGAGACACGGUCCAGACUCCUACGGGAGGCAGCAGUGGGGAAUUUUGCGCAAUGGACGAAAGUCUGACGCAGCAACGCCGCGUGAAGGAUGAAGGCCCUUGGGUCGUAAACUUCUGUCAGUGGGGAAGAAAUGCCCGCAAGGGAGCUGACGGUACCCACAAAGGAAGCACCGGCUAACUCCGUGCCAGCAGCCGCGGUAAUACGGAGGGUGCAAGCGUUGUUCGGAAUUAUUGGGCGUAAAGCGCGUGUAGGCGGUCUGUUAAGUCUGGUGUGAAAGCCCUGGGCUCAACCCAGGAAGUGCAUUGGAUACUGGCAGACUUGAGUAUGGGAGAGGAAAGCGGAAUUCCGAGUGUAGGAGUGAAAUCCGUAGAUAUUCGGAGGAACACCAGUGGCGAAGGCGGCUUUCUGGACCAAUACUGACGCUGAGACGCGAAAGCGUGGGGGAGCAACAGGAUUAGAUACCCUGGUAGUCCACGCCGUAAA
rnacentral:rRNA from 1 species